GCCACUGUUGAUGCAAUCCAAUCACCAGCUACAACAGGGCCGUGCUUUCCAUCACUAGGGAGGAAUUAUUUUCUCCAAGCUGUGUCAGAUACGGAUCAUCAUAACACACUGACCCUUCUUCAAGCGCAGAAAUGAAGAAGGCCUUUCCAUUCACAAUGGCAACAGCUCCAAUAGGCAGUGCAGGGAUUUAAAGCUAAACAGGCCAAACACAAGGCCCAUCACCAUUCGGCCUCUCAAAGUGAGCCAAACUUCCCUAUCUCUCACUUUAUUUUGCAAGGCCAAUAUUUGAGCAACCAAGCACAGUCGAUAUUAAAUAAAAAAUCGAGCCCACAGCUUAGUCCAGUGCCGAAUUCACCGUUAGCCAAAUAACCCUUCAUUGGUAAUGGAGUUCACCCACUCUCCCCCAAUGAAAAUCAGGGAAAACAACAAAACGGCAGAGUUCUCCACCCGACUGAAGUUUGGCAGCCCCUAAAGAAAAAACAGCAAAGAAAUCAAUCUAAGCGUGAACCAAACUCUUAGCCCCGAACCCAUCCCUGAUGACUCUGUUAUGGCAAACAUGCUAAUGGAAAUGCAAUCUAGUGCCAUGGGGAAAACCAAGA